rnacentral:rRNA from 1 species
CCGGGGGGUCGGGAGGUAAUUAGUCUGGGAAACGUAAGCCUGAUGGAGGGGGAGGACUACUGGAAACGGUAGCUAAUACCGCAUAACGUCGCAAGACCAAAGAGGGGGACCUUCGGGCCUCUUGCCAUCGGAUGUGCCCAGAUGGGAUUAGCUAGUAGGUGGGGUAACGGCUCACCUAGGCGACGAUCCCUAGCUGGUCUGAGAGGAUGACCAGCCACACUGGAACUGAGACACGGUCCAG